rnacentral:rRNA from 1 species
GUGAGGAAUAUUGGUCAAUGGGCGAGAGCCUGAACCAGCCAAGUCGCGUGAAGGAUGAAGGUUUUAUGAAUUGUAAACUUCUUUUGCAGGGGAAUAAAGUACGGUACGUGUACCGUUUUGUAUGUACUCUGCGAAUAAGGAUCGGCUAACUCCGUGCCAGCAGCCGCGGUAAUACGGAGGAUCCAAGCGUUAUCCGGAUUUAUUGGGUUUAAAGGGUGCGCAGGCGGGUUGAUAAGUCAGCGGUGAAAGUUUGCAGCUUAACUGUAAAAUUGCCGUUGAAACUGUCGAUCUUGAGUGCAAAUGAGGUAAGCGGAAUGUGUUGUGUAGCGGUGAAAUGCUUAGAUAUAACACAGAACUCCGAUUGCGAAGGCAGCUUACUGGGAUGCAACUGACACUGAUGCACGAAAGCGUGGGUAUCAAACAGGAUUAGAAACCCGGGUAGUCC